rnacentral:rRNA from 1 species
GCCGCGUGAGUGAUGAAGGUCUUCGGAUCGUAAAACUCUGUUAUUAGGGAAGAACAAACGUGUAAGUAACUGUGCACGUCUUGACGGUACCUAAUCAGAAAGCCACGGCUAACUACGUGCCAG